rnacentral:rRNA from 1 species
AACGAACGCUGGCGCAUGCCUAACACAUGCAAGUCGAACGAGACCUUCGGGUCCAGUGGCGCACGGGUGCGUAACGCGGGGGAACCUGCCCUUAGGUUUGGGAUUACCCCCCGAAAGGGGUGCCAAUACCGGAUAAUGUCUUCGGACCAAAGAUUUAUCGCCUUUGGAUGGGCCCGCGUUGGAUUAGCUAGUUGGUAGGGUAAAAGCCUACCAAGGCGACGAUCCAUAGCUGGUCUGAGAGGAUGAUCAGCCACACUGGGACUGAGACACGGCCCAGACUCCUACGGGAGGCAGCAGUGGGGAAUAUUGGACAAUGGGCGAAAGCCUGAUCCAGCAAUGCCGCGUGAGUGAUGAAGGCCUUAGGGUUGUAAAGCUCUUUUACCCGGGAUGAUAAUGACAGUACCGGGAGAAUAAGCUCCGGCUAACUCCGUG